rnacentral:lncRNA from 1 species
ACAAAACAUUUUCUUUUCGCUAUUUUCGCACUUUUCAAUUGCUUAUAUUUUGGCAACCGCUUUACAGAAAAUCUUGAAAAUUUAUACACUAUCUAAGAAAACGAUUUUCUUUCGAAGAAAAUUACUUCGGAUGUAGCAAUGAAUAUUAUCGAAAGUAAAUUUUAAUUAUUCUCACCAUGUACUGGUACUAUAUUUGGUAAGGAUGCUUAUCUCUCAACAUUUUUAAAAUUCACUAUCUUUUUCGCCUCUUAGACCCGAUAAACAUAACCAAAUGUAGAACGUAAUCAUGAUUUGUGUAUGUGUAAAUGCAGUUUAAUAUAUAAUAAGGGUAUCCCCACCCCAUUAUCCAUAAUGACAAAUAUCUCGAAACCCCAAUCUUAAAAAAACAAGACCAAUUAAAGCGUUAAAGUACAUUUAAGGUAUUUUCUGUUACGGAUACUAAUUACGUUAAAGAAUAUUAUUGUUAGGUAAACGUAUUGUUUAGAAAAAUCAAUUUAAUUGUAAAGAUUAAAACAAUAUAAAAGCUAUUGUAUACGAUAAAUUCUUGCAUUUUAACAACUAGAGAACGUUCAGAAUGCCUUUCAAAGAGAUAUUCGCUGUCGCCUGUCUAAUAAUACUAAUAACUGGAUACGGUUUAAAAUCUUUAAUUAUUCGUAGUGAACCUGCAUGCGGAAGAAUAUUUGAAAGAGGCAGAGUGGGGUUUUGGGGUUGCCUGAAACUUAAAGUCAAAAACUACUUCGAGGGAACAUUUUGUGCUGAUGACAAUGAUUCGUAACUGUCUUACUUGAUAAUCUAUGAUUUCAACAAGCAAAACUGUAAUUUAAUAAAUGAAUUUAUGCAAGAUUACUUCCCCGAUGAACAAGAAAAGACAAUGGAAGAAAGAAUCAAAGAAAAGAGACAAGGCAAUGUUAUCAUGAAGUUAUGGGAAAAGUAAAUGAAAUAUGCUUCUCAUUACACGAUUUUCAUAAUGCAAAUGCUAUUACAUCUUCAAAAAUUUGAGUUUCGGAAUAAAAUCACAUACCAAUUAAUUGUCUGAAUAAAUUCCAAUAAAUAAAAUAGAUGUGAUUAUUUAUUUGAAUUGUGUUUAUCACAUCCAGUAAAUAUAUUAUAUAACAAUAA